rnacentral:rRNA from 1 species
CCUACGGGUGGCAGCAGUGGGGAAUAUUGCACAAUGGGGGAAACCCUGAUGCAGCGACGCCGCGUGAGUGAAGAAGUACUUCGUUAUGUAAAGCUCUAUCAGCAGGGAAGAAAAUGACGGUACCUGAGUAAGAAGCCCCGGCUAACUACGUGCCAGCAGCCGCGGUAAUACGUAGGGGGCAAGCGUUAUCCGGAUUUACUGGGUGUAAAGGGAGCGUAGGCGGGAGUGCAAGUCUGGAGUGAAAGGCGGGGGCUCAACCCCCGGACUGCUCUGGAUACUGGACGGCUGGAGUGCAGGAGAGGUAAGCGGAAUGCGUGGUGUAGCGGUGAAAUGCGUAGAUAUCAGGCAGAACACCAGUUGCGAAGGCAGCUUACUGGACUGUAACUGACGUUGAGGCUCGAAAGCGUGGGGAGCAAACAGGAUUAGAUACCCGGGUAGUC